AUUAGUUAGUGGCAGACGGGUGAGUAACACGUGGGAAUCUGCCCAUCAGUACGGAAUAACUUUUAGAAAUAAAAGCUAAUACCGUAUAUUCUCUACAGAGGAAAGAUUUAUCGCUGAUGGAUGAGCCCGCGUCAGAUUAGGUAGUUGGUGAGGUAACGGCUCACCAAGCCGACGAUCUGUAGCUGGUCUGAGAGGACGACCAGCCACACUGGGACUGAGACACGGCCCAGACUACUACGGGAGGCAGCAGUGGGGAA
rnacentral:rRNA from 1 species